ensembl:lncRNA
CUCCGUCCAGAGCUCACCGGAACGCGCCGCAGUCGCCAAGCCGGUGAGAAGAGGAGGACGCUGGGCCGUUUUCCAGAUCAAACGCUCCUCCCUUUGGAGGAAGGACUCGAGGUUGCUUUGGCAGCUUUUGCAGACAGGCGCACAGCGGCUGCAGAAAAGCCUCCCCCACGGGGGCCCCGAUCCACAGGCCCGACCAGCGCGGCGGAGAAGGCAGAGGCUCUCGGGGGCACCGCGGGGGCCCCAGGAAGCCUCGGGCGCGGGUCCGAGCGGGGCUGAGGCGCCGCGAUCCCCAGAAGCCGGAGGAGCCCGGGCGGAGCGCCGAGACUUGACGCCGACACAAGGGAAAACCUAGAGGAGAGCAAACGGAGACGGACUUCCGCUUCCGGUUUCCGCCCCGCGCUCAACGUAAGGGGCGGGGCCUCCGGAGCUCAGGGAUCAGGAAGUGCGAUGGAGAUGGGGUCGAACGGGGGCGGCGGCUGCUUGCGCCCAAGAGGCAGGCAUGCUGUUGGACCUGGAUCCAGAGCAGGCUUUUCAAAUAGACCAGGGCCAGAGAGCAGGACCCGAGCUGGAGGACCGAGCGGAGCGCUGGGGACCGAGUUAGAAGCCGGCCGGACGCGGAGGGCGGGGCUUGCGUCAUGGCUGUCCCGGGAGGGCGUGGUUCGGGGCGGGGUCAGAGCCCAGGCUUUGUGUACCGACUGCAGGAAGCUCAUCAAAGGCCUUUCGACUGGCCUUUCUCGUGAUUUCUUCAGCCCGAUGCAGCGGUGUGCACAUGUUAGCAAAGGAGGUCAUCAAGAAGGUGUGACUGCCAGUUGAUACUCAGCUGAACCCAGACAAUCGGAGGCUCCCCACUUCGUCCCCUGUCCUUGGAGUAUGCAUUCUGCUUGCCUUCCCUGUUUCCAGAAACUGCCCCAAAUUCAGCCUUGAGAUAGAAAUGUGGUGCUGAGACUAUCUAGAUGGUGUAUGCGUGAUGGAACUCAGUUAAGGCCUCUGUAUAAACUUAAAGAUUUGCUGGGCAGGUGCAGAUUUGCUGUAUAAAGAUUUGCUGUAUAAAGAUUUGCUGGGCAGGUGCAGAAAACUACUCAUCUUGCAGCCGCCCAGACGAGCCUCGUAAGUAAGUUCCCUUACUCAUUAGAACUGCCACCUCCCAGUCUGGAGUGGUUUCUCUCUUUCUUUGGUCUCUUCUUGCCCUCUGAGUGUGGGGGCUGGUUUUAGAUUACACCCAAGAAGCUCCCAAGGAGACGGCAAACCAACACCAUUGAGUCUAAAAUUAUUUCAAAAUAAAGUUUUUAAAAUUCUAUUAUGAUUAAUUUGGGGUACUGUUCAACCUUUGGCAUGUGUCUAAAAUGCCUGCUUGACAUCUCCACUACUGUGAGAAUCGUGUUAAUUUUGAGAUGCCCAAAACUAAAUUCGUGAUUUCUCCCAAUACCCACUCCUACCCAGUCUUACCCCAUUUCAAUAAAUGACAAUUCCAUUAUUGCAGUUGCUCAAGCCAAAAUCCUUAGCAUCGUCUUUCAUGCUUUUUUUUCUCUCAUAGCCCACAUGUAAUCUACCACAAAAGUCUGUCAAUUCUACAUUCAGAAUAUAUAAAGAAUACACAAAAUAGGUUUACAAUUCGUUCACAUCUCACCACGUUUAGUGCUAGCACUGGACUUCAGGCCUUAUCUGUUUCAGCAGCUAGCGUUGCCUUAUCUAGUAGAUGGAUGGAUGGAUGGACGGACGGAUGGCUGGAUGGAUAGAUAGAUAUCCUUGUGGUACUUGUGGUAUAUGUUUCUAGACUAGGUAUCAAGAGGGG